ACGCUCGACACCUACGGGAGGCAGCAGUUGGGAAUAUUGGACAAUGGAGGAAACUCUGAUCCAGUGACGCCGCGUGAAGGAAGAAGGUCUUCGGAUUGUAAACUUAUUUUGUCAGGGAAGAAAAAUGACUGUACCUGAAGAAAAAGCACCGGCUAACUACGCGCCAGCAGCCGCGGUAAUCUGAGCGGGCUGGCAAGGC
rnacentral:rRNA from 1 species